UACGUAGCUCGCAAGCGUUAUCCGGAUUUACUGGGCGUAAAGAGUCUGUAGCCUGAUAUGUAAGUCUGUUUUCAAAUACCUGGACUCAAUCGAGGGAAGGGGAUAGAUACUGCAUAUCUAGAGAUAUUUGGAGGUUAGUGGAAUUUCCGGUGGAGCGGUGAAAUGCGUUGAUAUCGGAAAGAACGCCGAAUGCGAAAGCUGCUAACUACAAUACAUCUGACGGUGAGAGACGAGAGCUUGGGGAGCAAACGGG
rnacentral:rRNA from 1 species